rnacentral:rRNA from 1 species
GACGAACGCUGGCGGCGCGCCUAACACAUGCAAGUCGAGCGAGCGGCGAACGGGUGAGUAAAGCCUCGGAAUCUGCCUGGUAGUGGGGGAUAACGUCCGGAAACGGGCGCUAAUAUCGCAUACUAUCAGAUGAGCCUAGGUGGGAUUAGCUAGUUGGUGGGGUAAAGGCCCACAAAGGCGACGCUCCGUAACUGGUCUGAGAGGAUGAGCAGUCACACUGGAACUGAGACACGGUCCAGACGCCUACGGGAGGCAGCAGUGGGGAAUAUGGGACAAUGGGCGAAAGCCUGAUCCAGCCAUGCCGCGUGUGUGAAGAAGGUCUUCGGAUUGUAAAGCACUUUAAGUUGGGAGGCGUUACCAACAGAAUAAGCACCGGCUAACUUCGUGCCAGCAGCCGCGGUAAUUC